AGGACGAACGCUGGCGGCGUGCUUAACACAUGCAAGUCGAGCGCGUGUAGCAAUACACGAGCGGCAGACGGGAGAGUAACACGUGGGAACGCGCCCUUCGGUUCGGAAUAACUCAGGGAAACUUGAGCUAAUACCGGAUACGCCCUUACGGGGAAAGAUUUAUUGCCGAAGGAACGGCCCGCGUCCGAUUAGCUAGUUGGUGAGGUAACGGCUCACCAAGGCGACGAUCGGUAGCUGGUCUGAGAGGAUGACCAGCCUCACUGGGACUGAGACACGGCCCAGACUCCUACGGGAGGCAGCAGUGGGGAAUAUUGGACAAUGGGCGCAAGCCUGAUCCAGCCAUGCCGCGUGGAUGAUGAAGGCCUUAGGGUUGUAAAGUCCUUUUAACGGGGAAGAUAAUGACGGUACCGUAGAAUAAGCCCGGCUAACUUCGUGCCAGCAGCCGC
rnacentral:rRNA from 1 species